rnacentral:rRNA from 1 species
GGACCCGCACAAGCGGUGGAUUAUGUGGAUUAAUUCGAUGCAACGCGAAAAACCUUACCUACCCUUGACAUGUCCUGAAGCCCGGUGAGAGCUGGGUGUGCCCGAAAGGGAACGGGAACACAGGUGCUGCAUGGCUGUCGUCAGCUCGUGUCGUGAGAUGUUGGGUUAAGUCCCGCAACGAGCGCAACCCUUGUCAUUAGUUGCUACAUUCAGUUGGGCACUCUAAUGAGACUGCCGGUGACAAACCGGAGGAAGGUGGGGAUGACGUCAAGUCCUCAUGGCCCUUAUGGGUAGGGCUUCACACGUAAUACAAUGGCGCGUACAGAGGGUUGCGAAGGGGUGACCUGGAGCCAAUCCCUUAAAGCGCGUCGUAGUCCGGAUUGCAGUCUGCAACUCGACUGCAUGAAGUCGGAAUCGCUAGUAAUCGCGGAUCAGCAUGUCGCGGUGAAUACGUUCCCGGGUCUU